AUACGGAGGGUGCGAGCGUUAAUCGGAAUUACUGGGCGUAAAGCGCGCGUAGGUGGUUAAUUAAGUCAGAUGUGAAAGCCCAGGGCUCAACCUUGGAACUGCAUUUGAAACUGGUUGACUAGAGUUUUGUAGAGGGUGGUAGAAUUUCAGGUGUAGCGGUGAAAUGCGUAGAGAUCUGAAGGAAUACCAGUGGCGAAGGCGGCCACCUGGACAGAGACUGACACUGAGGCGCGAAGGCGUGGGGAGCAAACGGGAUUAGAUACCCCGGUAGUCCACGCAGUAAACGAUGUCUAUUAGAAGUUUGUGGCUAUAUGCCGUGGGUUUCAAAGCUAACGCAUUAAAUAGACCGCCUGGGGAGUACGGCCGCAAGGUUAAA
rnacentral:rRNA from 1 species